rnacentral:misc_RNA from 1 species
GAAAUGCGAUAAGUAAUGUGAAUUGCAGAAUUCAGUGAAUCAUCGAAUCUUUGAACGCACCUUGCGCUCCUUGGUAUUUCUUGGAGCAUGCCUGUUUGAGUAUCAUGAAAUCAUCAAAGUAAAUCUUUUGUUAACUCAAUUGGUUUCUACUUUGGUAUUGGAGGUCUUUGCAGCUUCACACCUGCUCCUCUUUGUUCAUUAGCUGGAUCUCAGUGUUAUGCUUGGUUCCACUCGGCGUGAUAAGUUAUCUAUCGCUGAGGACACUGUAAAAGGUGGCCAAGGUAAAUGCAGAUGAACCGCUUCUAAUAGUCCAUUGACUUGGACAAUACUUUUAUGAUCUGAUCUCAAAUCAGGUAGGACUACCCGCUGAACUUAAGC